UGGGCCGUAACCUGACGCUGAGGAGCGAAAGGGUGGGGAGCAAACAGGCCYUWKAUACCCUGGUAGUCCACCCCGUAAACGUUGGGAACUAGUUGUGGGGACCAUUCCACGGUUUCCGUGACGCAGCUAACGCAUUAAGUUCCCCGCCUGGGGAGUACGGCCGCAAGGCUAAAACUCAAAGGAAUUGACGGGGACCCGCACAAGCGGCGGAGCAUGCGGAUUAAUUCGAUGCAACGCGAAGAACCUUACCAAGGCUUGACAUACACCAGAACGGGCCAGAAAUGGUCAACUCUUUGGACACUGGUGAACAGGUGGUGCAUGGUUGUCGUCAGCUCGUGUCGUGAGAUGUUGGGUUAAGUCCCGCAACGAGCGCAACCCUCGUUCUAUGUUGCCAGCACGUAAUGGUGGGAACUCAUGGGAUACUGCCGGGGUCAACUCGGAGGAAGGUGGGGAUGACGUCAAAUCAUCAUGCCCCUUAUGUCUUGGGCUUCACGCAUGCUACAAUGGCCGGUACAAAGGGCUGCAAUACCGUGAGGUGGAGCGAAUCCCAAAAAGCCGGUCCCAGUUCGGAUUGAGGUCUGCAACUCGACCUCAUGAAGUCGGAGUCGCUAGUAAUCGCAGAUCAGCAACGCUGCGGUGAAUACGUUCCCGGGUCUUGUACACACCGCCCGUCAAGUCAUGAAAGUCGGUAACACCUGAAGCCGGUGGCCCAACCCUUGUGGAGGGAGCCGUCGAAGGUGGGAUCGGUAAUUAGGACUAAGUC
rnacentral:rRNA from 1 species